GCAGUCGAACGAUGAUCCCAGCUUGCUGGGGGAUUAGUGGCGAACGGGUGAGUAACACGUGAGUAACCUGCCCUUAACUCUGGGAUAAGCCUGGGAAACUGGGUCUAAUACCGGAUAUGACUCCUCAUCGCAUGGUGGGGGGUGGAAAGCUUUAUUGUGGUUUUGGAUGGACUCGCGGCCUAUCAGCUUGUUGGUGAGGUAAUGGCUCACCAAGGCGACGACGGGUAGCCGGCCUGAGAGGGUGACCGGCCACACUGGGACUGAGACACGGCCCAGACUCCUACGGGAGGCAGCAGUGGGGAAUAUUGCACAAUGGGCGAAAGCCUGAUGCAGCGACGCCGCGUGAGGGAUGACGGCCUUCGGGUUGUAAACCUCUUUCAGUAGGGAAGAAGCGAAAGUGACGGUACCUGCAGAAGAAGCGCCGGCUAACUACGUGCCAGCAGCCGCGGUAAUACGUAGGGCGCAAGCGUUAUCCGGAAUUAUUGGGCGUAAAGAGCUCGUAGGCGGUUUGUCGCGUCUGCC
rnacentral:rRNA from 1 species